GAUGAACGCUGGCGGCGUGCCUAAUACAUGCAAGUCGAGCGAACAGACGAGGAGCUUGCUCCUCUGACGUUAGCGGCGGACGGGUGAGUAACACGUGGAUAACCUACCUAUAAGACUGGGAUAACUUCGGGAAACCGGAGCUAAUACCGGAUAAUAUAUUGAACCGCAUGGUUCAAUAGUGAAAGACGGUUUUGCUGUCACUUAUAGAUGGAUCCGCGCCGCAUUAGCUAGUUGGUAAGGUAACGGCUUACGAAGGCAACGAUGCGUAGCCGACCUGAGAGGGUGAUCGGCCACACUGGAACUGAGACACGGUCCAGACUCCUACGGGAGGCAGCAGUAGGGAAUCUUCCGCAAUGGGCGAAAGCCUGACGGAGCAACGCCGCGUGAGUGAUGAAGGUCUUCGGAUCGCAAAACUCUGUUAUUAGGGAAGAACAAAUGUGUAAGUAACUAUGCACGUCUUGACGGUACCUAAUCAGAAAGCCACGGCUAACUACGUG
rnacentral:rRNA from 1 species